rnacentral:rRNA from 1 species
AGUCGAACGAAGUAGCAAUACUUAGUGGCAGACGGGUGAGUAACAUGUAGGUAUCUGCCCUUUGGCCUGGAAUAACACGAGGAAACUUGUGCUAAUACCGGAUAAGUCUUUACGGAGAAAGCUUUAUGCACCAUUGGAUGAGCCUGCACUUGAUUAGUUUGUUGGUGGGGUAAUGGCCUACCAAGACUGUGAUCAAUAGCUGAUUUGAGAGGAUGAUCAGCCACAUUGGGACUGAGACACGGCCCAAACUCCUACGGGAGGCAGCAGUGGGGAAUCUUGCACAAUGGAGGAAACUCUGAUGCAGCGAUGCCGCGUGAGUGAAGAAGGCCCUUGGGUUGUAAAGCUCUUUCGUCGGGGAAGAAAAUGACUGUACCCGAAUAAGAAGGUCCGGCUAACUUCGUGCCAGCAGCCGCGGUAAUACGAAGGGACCUAGCGUAGUUCGGAAUUACUGGGCUUAAAGAGUUCGUAGGUGGUUGAAAAAGUUAGUGGUGAAAUCCCAGAGCUUAACUCUGGAACUGCCAUUAAAACUUUUCAGCUAGAGUAUGAUAGAGGAAAGCAGAAUUUCUAGUGUAGAGGUGAAAUUCGUAGAUAUUAGAAAGAAUACCAAUUGCGAAGGCAGCUUUCUGGAUCAUUACUGACACUGAGGAACGAAAGCAUGGGUAGCGAAGAGGAUUAGAUACCCUCGUAGUCCAUGCCGUAAACGAUGUGUGUUAGACGUUGGAAAUUUAUUUUCAGUGUCGCAGGGAAACCGAUAAACACACCGCCUGGGGAGUACGACCGCAAGGUUAAAACUCAAAUGAAUUGACGGGGACCCGCACAAGUAGUGGAGCAUGUGGUUUAAUUCGAAGAUACGCGCAGAACCUUACCAACACUUGACAUGUUCGUCGCGACUUUAAGAGAUUAAAGUUUUCGGUUCGGCCGGACGAAACACAGGUGCUGCAUGGCUGUCGUCAGCUCGUGUCGUGAGAUGUUGGGUUAAGUCCCGCAACGAGCGCAACCCUCACUUUUAGUUGCCAUCAUUAAGUUGGGCACUCUGAAAGAACUGCCAGUGAUAAGCUGGAGGAAGGUGGGGAUGACGUCAAGUCCUCAUGGCCCUUACGUGUUGGGCUACACACGUGCUACAAUGGUAUCUACAACAGGAAGCAAGACUGCGAAGUUAAGCAAAUCCCUAAAAGAUACCUCAGUUCGGAUUGCACUCUGCAACUCGAGUGCAUGAAGCUGGAAUUACUAGUAAUCGUGGAUCAGCGUGCCACGGUGAAUGCGUUCCCGGGUCUUGUACACACCGCCCGUCACACCAUGGGAGUUGGUUCUACCUUAAG